GCCACAUCAUGUUUAAACACAGGUUCCUGUAUGAUCACCAAAGUUAAACAACAUUAGGCCUGAUCAGUACCUAGAUGGGUGACCACUUAGGAAUAUCAAGUGUUGUAAG